UACGUAGGGGGCUAGCGUUGUCCGGAAUCAUUGGGCGUAAAGAGCGUGUAGGCGGCUUGGUAAGUCCGCUGUGAAAGUCCAGGGCUCAACCCUGGAAUGCCAGUGGAUACUGUCAAGCUAGAGUCCGGAAGAGGCGAGUGGAAUUCCUGGUGUAGCGGUGAAAUGCGCAGAUAUCAGGAGGAACACCAAUGGCGAAGGCAGGUCUCUGGGCCACUACUGACGCUGAGAAGCGAAAGCGUGGGGAGCAAACAGG
rnacentral:rRNA from 1 species